AAGGAAAGGAAAACAAAUUAGCCUACAUAGAACAGAAUCAAGAUGUCCCCAUACAUUAAAACAUUAUGAUCAUCAUAUCCUCUGCCAUGGAAGUGCCACCGCCACCCAUAGAAAGCUAUAACUAUAUAUUACAAAUAAAUUAUCAAUACGACGUCGACCAUGAAAACUCUUCCUGCAUAAAAUAUUACAGGAUGCAGCUGAUCUGAUCAUCAUGGGUGUGGUGGACCGAACGGGCCAGGUGGGCCCAUUGGACCACCGAAGCAGUCUUGCAGUAACCAGCAACAGCACAAGAAGCUCAAGCAAGCAGCUAUGAUGUUGCAAAAGCCAUGGAAAAGACCUGGUGGUGGUGGACCCCAUCCUGGUGGCCCAGGUCUUCCUGGUCCCAUUGCUCAAUUCCUUGGAUAGCUAUCAAAAACAAAAGACUAAUAAAGGGUUAUCAAGAAGAGACUGCAAAAUGAUGGUAAGAGACGUAAAGAGUUUGGGGAGCUUUUUAUAGGAGAUUUUGCUUAGGGUAGAAGGAUUG
rnacentral:misc_RNA from 1 species